AACUGAGCGACUGAACACACAAAGACAACAGUGGGAGCUUCUGAUUUUCUUAAAUCCUGUUCCCUGCAAGAAGGUUCUCCAUUCCAUGAACCAACAUCCUGGUUGC
rnacentral:lncRNA from 1 species